CGGACGGGUGAGUAACGCGUGGGUAACCUGCCUCAUACAGGGGGAUAACAGUUAGAGAUGAUUGCUAAUACCGCAUAAGACCACGGAGCCGCAUGGCUCAGUGGGAAAAACUCCGGUGGUAUGAGAUGGACCCGCGUCUGAUUAGGUAGUUGGUGGGGCAACGGCCUACCAAGCCAACGAUCAGUAGCCGACCUGAGAGGGUGACCGGCCACAUUGGGACUGAGACACGGCCCAA
rnacentral:rRNA from 1 species